rnacentral:rRNA from 1 species
UACGUAGGGGGCUAGCGUUGUCCGGAAUCAUUGGGCGUAAAGCGCGCGUAGGCGGCCAGAUAAGUCCGGUGUGAAAGUCACAGGCUCAACCUGUGAAUGCCGCUGGAAACUGUCUGGCUAGAGUCCGGAAGGGGCGAGUGGAAUUCCUGGUGUAGCGGUGAAAUGCGCAGAUAUCAGGAGGAACACCAAUGGCGAAGGCAGCUCGCUGGGACGGUACUGACGCUGAGGCACGAAAGUGUGGGGAUCAAACAGG